GCUUAGAGAAUUUCUAUAAGAAUGUAGUGUUGAAGCCACUAAAGAAGUAUUAUACUCCUAGGUG
rnacentral:tRNA from 1 species